rnacentral:rRNA from 1 species
UCCGUAGGGUGCGAGCGUUGUCCGGAAUUACUGGGCGUAAAGAGCUCGUAGGUGGUUUGUCGCGUUGUUCGUGAAAACUCACAGCUCAACUGUGGGCGUGCGGGCGAUACGGGCAGACUGGAGUACUGCAGGGGAGACUGGAAUUCCUGGUGUAGCGGUGGAAUGCGCAGAUAUCAGGAGGAACACCGGUGGCGAAGGCGGGUCUCUGGGCAGUAACUGACGCUGAGGAGCGAAAGCGUGGGGAGCGAACAGG